GCAGUGAGCCGAGAUUGGGCCACUCCAUUCCAGCCUGAGGGGCACAGCAACACUCUGUCUCAAUAAAUAAAUAACUAUCCAGGUGUGGUGGCACAGCCCUGUAGUCGGAGCUAAUCAAGAGGCUAAGGUGGGAGGAUCCCUUGAGCCCAGGACAUGGAGGCUGCAGUGAGCUAUGAUGUCAACACUGCACUUCAGCUUGGGGAACAGGGCAAGUUUGUCUCAAAAAAAUUAAAAGAAACUGGAUACAUUGAUAUUUUGCCAGGACCCUGCCUUGUACAGGCAUCUAGUCUAAUGGGACUGGGAGUCAUCAGGGCAGAUGACCUAAUCCCAGUGUCACAUUAUCAUAGGAUGUAACUGGAGAGCUACGGGCAUGGCGAAGUUGGAAGAUGAGGGAAGGCACAACAGAGGCUGUGGGGUGAACUGACUUCAAGGAAUGUGUCCUUCCCUUCAGAACCACAUGUGUGCGGGACACCCAGACAGAAAACACAAACGCAAAGUCAGUGGAGGGCAUUUGGAAGGAGCAGUGAAGCCAAGCCAGGAAACAGCAAGAUGGCGAGCCAGUGUGGUUGUAGACAUUGUAGAGAGCGUGGAAUUGGCACUGUGGACCCUGGCCCCGAUUUAGAAAGACAUCUGCUAAGGAAGUUGUUCAGAAAGAACAGGAUUGGAGGUGCUCUCUGGGGUGUCCUCCUACCAAGCAGCCUGUUGAAGGCCUCGUGGUGCUCGGGGAGCACGGACGACACUCGCCGUCGCUUCAGCUUCAUCUUGAGGACACACAGCGUCUCCGCCACCCAGAAGAACAGGAUUGGAGGUGCUCUCUGGGGUGUCCUACUGAGCUGGCUAUUGAAGGCCUCGAGGUGCUCGGGGAGCACAGGUGACACUCGCCGUCGCUUCAGCUUCAUCUUGAGACCACACAGCAUCUCCACCACCCAGGUCUCCUCAGGCUCAGGGGCGAGCUCCUUCUCUGGCUCCUCCUCAGAGUGGUCCGACCACUCCCUCUUCCUUUUCCAGCAAAGGGACCUACAUGAGGGGCUGGGAUCUACCCCAGGGGCUGAGUAAGGAAACCAGAGCACCGUGUAAUGCUUCUGCAACUGAUCACCUUAGACCCCGACCCCAAACCCCAAACCACUCUCCAUCCUCCCCUGAUCACCUUAGACCCCGACCCCAAACCCCAAAGCACUCUCCAUCCUCCCCAGCCUCGUAGACUGCUGGCUUCUCUAAGCCAUCUUUCUGACUUUCUCCUCUGCUCAACCCCAUGUGCCACUCCUUCUCCUCCCCAUUCUUCCGUCUCCUCCCCAUUCUUCCGUCUCUGUGUCCUCAGAACAUGUCCUCAUGUUCUUCCCUAGUCCCUGGCUCUCUGAGUCCCUCCUUUUCUUUUUUUGUUUUGAGACAGAAUCUUGCUUUGUCACCCAGGCUGGAGUGUAGUGGUGCAAUCUCAGCUCACUGCAACAUCCAUCUCC